CGUUUAAGGGGCAAUGUUGUACGUUGUAUGUAUCAUUGAAACCAUAAGCGUAUAGCUUUUCCCCUUUGAUG
rnacentral:pre_miRNA from 1 species